rnacentral:rRNA from 1 species
GGAAACAGCGGUUAGGAGCUUACACCCACCCGUGUUUACAUACUAUUGUUGCUUUGGCGGGCCGUGGCCUCCACUGCGGGCUCUGCUCGUGUGUGCCCGCCAGAGGACCAAACUCUGAAUGUUAGUGAUGUCUGAGUACUAUCUAAUAGUUAAAACUUUCAACAACGGAUCUCUUGGUUCUGGCAUCGAUGAAGAACGCAGCGAAAUGCGAUAAGUAAUGUGAAUUGCAGAAUUCAGUGAAUCAUCGAAUCUUUGAACGCACAUUGCGCCCUGUGGUAUUCCGCAGGGCAUGCCUGUUCGAGCGUCAUUUAACCACUCACGCCUAGCGUGGUAUUGGGGCACGCGGUCUCCGCGGCCCUCAAAAUUAGUGGCGGUGCCGGUGGGCUCUAAGCGUAGUACAUACUCCCGCUAUAGAGUUCCCCCCGGUGGCUCGCCAGAACCCCCAAUUUUUACAGGUUGACCUCGGAUCAGGUAGGGAUACCCGCUGAACUUAAG